rnacentral:tRNA from 1 species
ACACGGGAAUUAUUGCGCCGGCCCAUGAUGUUAAUACCGUUCUGCCACAGCUUAAAAAACGGUUCGCUCAUCCCUCGGCGUUCGCGCUGUGCGGGUUCAAGUCCCGCUCCGGGUACCA